rnacentral:rRNA from 1 species
UACGGGGGGAGCAAGCGUUGUUCGGAUUUACUGGGCGUAAAGGGCGCGUAGGCGGCCACCGCAAGUCGGUUGUGAAAUCUCUGGGCUUAACCCAGAAAGGUCAACCGAUACUGCGGGGCUAGAGUGCAGAAGGGGCAACUGGAAUUCUCGGUGUAGCGGUGAAAUGCGUAGAUAUUGAGAGGAACACCAGUGGCGAAGGCGGCUCACUAGACCGGUACUGACGCUGAUGCGCGAAAGCGUGAGGAGCAAACAGG